GAUGAAGAACGCAGCGAAAUGCGAUAAGUAAUGUGAAUUGCAGAAUUCAGUGAAUCAUCGAAUCUUUGAACGCACAUUGCGCCCGCCAGCACUCUGGCGGGCAUGCCUGUUCGAGCGUCAUUUCAACCAUCAAGCCCCCAGGGGCUUGUGCUGGGGCCCUGCGGCUGCCCGCAGGCCCUGAAAACCAGUGGCGGGCUCGCUAGUCACACCGAGCGCAGUAGCACAUCUCGCUCAGGGCGUGCGGCGGGCUGCUGCCGUGAAACCCCCCACUGUAACCCCAAAGGUUGACCUCGGAUCAGGUAGGAAUACCCGCUGAACUUAAGCAUAUCAAUAAGCGGAGGA
rnacentral:misc_RNA from 1 species